UUUAAUGCCAUGCAUCUCCUUAACGCAGGAAUAUACAUUAGCGAGCCGCACACACACACACAAAAUACACCAAAAUACAAUGCCUCCAUUUAUCGUGAGCUUUUAUCAGUUAAUAUGAAAAUGUUUCCCCCUGUGGAAACCACCAAUCGGCCCACCACAAAAAUCCCCCACAAACUGGAAACCCAACUGGCAACCGCUUGGAACAAUCAACCACAAGACGUCACAGAGCUGUUCAGGGGGCUUUAGGGCAGAGAUUGAGAGGGGGAUAAGAGUGGAGUGAUAGAGGAAUAAAACCAGGGACAGGGAGGCAGGGGAGGGGCUGGAUUCUCAGCUCCAGAUCCUAUUUUAUGAACCGUGUUGUUCUUUGAGCGUCUGAAAAUCAAGUUUGUAAAACGGCCGUAUAGAUCUAAAGGAGGAACGCUCUGAGAAGAUAAAGACAGAAAACAGGAAGUCAACAAAUCAACCCUCUAACGUCACAUCCAUUACAUAUCCAGGUGACGGAGAAGCUCCACCUCCUGUAGAUCCCCUGCAGCUCUUCUCUUAUCAGAGGGUUAACUCCUCCUGCCGUCUCUAAUUUGUCAAACUCAGCACCUCAUUUUCAACAAGGCGACCAGGAUGUCUGUAUCUGCUCCAUCAUCUCUAACAAAGAGUCCUGCUGCUCCGGCCUGAGGCUUUAUAUCACCCCAACCAGGUCCAGCCCGUCGUUA